rnacentral:rRNA from 1 species
AGUGAACGCUGGCGGCGUGCUUAACACAUGCAAGUCGAACGAGAACGGAAUAUAGCUUGCUAUAUUUGUCAGCUAAGUGGCGCACGGGUGAGUAAUGUAUAGAUAACCUGCCCUUAAGAAAGGAAUAACAGUUGGAAACGACUGCUAAUGCCCUAUAUGCCUUUAGUACAUAAGUAUGCAAGGGAAACGCUUUAGUGCUUAAGGAUGGGUCUGUAUGGUAUCAGCUUGUUGGUGAGGUAGUGGCUCACCAAGGCUAUGACGCCUAACUGGUUUGAGAGGAUGAUCAGUCACACUGGAACUGAGACACGGUCCAGACUCCUACGGGAGGCAGCAGUGGGGAAUAUUGCACAAUGGACGAAAGUCUGAUGCAGCAACGCCGCGUGGAGAAUGACACAUUUCGGUGCGUAAACUCCUUUUAUAUAGGAAGAUAAUGACGGUACUAUAUGAAUAAGCACCGGCUAACUCCGUGCCAGCCGCCGCAGUAA